AAUGUCUGUUAAAGGUUUCAUGUCAAUCCAUCCCUCCAUCCUUUAGUCCAGAUCCAGUCCAUCUGGACUAAAGUAGUGGACUGACCAACAGACUGACAUUAACAUCAGAGCCAUGCUGCUAGUGUGGCUAAAAGAGAAGAGAAGAAGAGACAGUCAUGUCGAUAUGAACAUUAGAGAAACACAUCAUGGAGCUGAAAUAUGAUCCUGCUUCUUCAUUUGAACUCCUUCACCUCAGCUGACACGUUCACCAGCAGACAGGUUUUUGUACCAGUCUUUCUCACUGUGUGGAGGAUGGUGGUACCUCAUCUUUGGUUCUGGGACUAAACUGUAUGUAACAGAGGAGCAGAUGGUGAAGCCCGUGGUGAACGUCUGCCCCAUUGAAUCCAACGUCCACCAGGAGGGGAAGAGCUCCCUGCUGUGUCUGGCCUCAGCCAUGUUUCCUCCUCUGGUCCAGUUCUCCUGGAAAAGACAGAAGGAGGACGGCUCUCUGGAGGACCUGCUCCCUGCUGAGGGACAGUUCAGAGGGUCCAGACAAUCCGCCGUCAUCAGAGUGGUUGAUGGUGAUGCUCUCAGCAGAUAUAAAUACAUCUGCUACGUCAAGCAUGAGGGGGAAACAGUGGAGGCCCAAACACAACAAGAGGUUCCUGCUUCUCCUCCACCUGCUUCUCCUCCACCACCUCCUCCACCUGCUUCUCCUCCACCAGUUUAUGCAACAACUCCUCCACUUCUGAAAAAAGAAACAUUUCCACCAUCUGAUCCAGCUGCAACCUCUGUUCCUGUUCUCCACCCUGUGAAGCUGUCAGUGUCCUUCCAGUCUGAGUUGAGGGUGAAGCUGCUCUUGCUGCUGUCCACAGUGCUGAUAGUGAAGAGUCUGGUGUACUGCUGUGGACUCUUUCUGCUGAUGAUCCUCAGAAACAAGGGACCGUCCACCAACUGCACACAUGCUGACUGACUGUUUUCUGCUGGACUUUUCUCUCCAUCAAAUCUCAUCAAUUCAUCUCAUUCAUCACUUUGAUCAGGAUUCACAAAUGUUAGUUAUGACAUGUUGUAGUUGCUUUAAAAUUUCUCUUUUUAUGCAGAUUUUACAGAGUUAUAUUCAGAAUUUACAUCCAUUUAUUAACAUUUAUAUUUGCUGUCAUAAACUGUAAAUUCUGAAAAAAAGUUUAAUCUUGAUAAUUUAUUUUAUAUCUGCUUUCUGUCUUUGAUAUAUUUGAUCAUUGAACGUUUUUCUAUAAUAGAGAUUUUUCAAAACAAAACAAAAUGUUUUUUUUUUUUUUUUUACUUUAAAUCAUAACAUGAUUCUAUGCAUGUCACAA